ACGUUAGCGGCGGACGGGUGAGUAACACGUGGGUAACCUACCUAUAAGACUGGGAUAACUCCGGGAAACCGGGGCUAAUACCGGAUAACACAUGAAACCGCAUGGUUUCAUGAUGAAAGACGGUUUUGCUGUCACUUAUAGAUGGACCCGCGGCGUAUUAGCUAGUUGGUAAGGUAACGGCUUACCAAGGCAACGAUACGUAGCCGACCUGAGAGGGUGAUCGGCCACACUGGAACUGAGACACGGUCCAGACUCCUACGGGAGGCAGCAGCC
rnacentral:rRNA from 1 species